GGCGCGCUUACCGCAGGCGGCGCGGGCGGGAGCGGCUUCGCGGCGGGCGCGGGCGCGCCAGACGCGGGUUUCGGCGGUUCGGUCCUGGCGCGCGGCGCC
rnacentral:tRNA from 1 species